ensembl:snRNA U1 U1 spliceosomal RNA
AUAUGUAGCAGGCAGGGGAGAGGCCAUGAUCGCAAAAUGGUGUUCCCAGGGCAAGGUUCAUCCAUUGCACUCUGGAUGUGCAGACCCCUAUGAUGUCCCCAAAGGCGGGGAAUUUGACUGCAUAAUUUGUGGUAGAGGGGACUGCGUGGUGCUUUCCCCUG